rnacentral:rRNA from 1 species
CUACGGGCGGCACCAGUGGGAAUAUUGGACAAUGGGGGCAACCCUGAUCCAGCCAUGCCGCGUGUGUGAAGAAGGCCUUCGGGUUGUAAAGCACUUUCAACAGUGAGGAAAGGUUAGUAGUUAAUACCUGCUAGCUGUGACGUUAACUGUAGAAGAAGCACCGGCUAACUCCGUGCCAGCAGCCGCGGUAAUACGGAGGGUGCAAGCGUUAAUCGGAAUUACUGGGCGUAAAGCGCGCGUAGGUGGUUUGUUAAGCGAGAUGUGAAAGCCCCGGGCUCAACCUGGGAACUGCAUUUCGAACUGGCAGGCUAGAGUACAGAAGAGGAUAGUGGAAUUUCCAGUGUAGCGGUGAAAUGCGUAGAGAUUGGAAGGAACACCAGUGGCGAAGGCGACUGUCUGGUCUGAUACUGACACUGAGGUGCGAAAGCGUGGGUAGCAAACAGGAUUAGAUACCCGAGUAGUC